rnacentral:lncRNA from 1 species
GUAAAUUUACUAUGAACAUGUAAUAUAUUUAGAUAUUAGGAAAGGUUAUGCCACAUGUAAUAAGUGGCAGGGGUGGCAGUAGAACUCAUAACUUCUAAUUCCAAUUCCAGUGUUUCUUCUGUUUGUUAAAAUAUUACAAUUGACUUACAUAAAUGAAGUUCAUUAUUAUCUGUUCCUAUGAACUAAACAUGUAGCAUAAUAUGAAUUUUCCAAUUAAUCAUCUUUAAUGUAUGUUCAUUUGUAUAGUUCAGUUAUUGUUAAUGUUUAUCAGUUUUAUCUCCAUAUCUAGAAUGAAAAAUCCCUGUGGUAUAAGGGCAACAUACCUACUCUCAUACCUUUACUCUUUUAUCCCUCGAAUAUCUAAGCAAAUUUUUUGCACCAACACUUGUUGACAGACUGUUUAUAAAUCAAUAUGAGCCAUAUAUUUGGGCUCAGGACAUACAACCCAAAAUAUGACUAGAGAAGAUGUGAAUAUGCCUCCUUAAAGUGUGGCAUACUGAUUAUUUUGAGCUGGUUAUGUUGAGAAACCACAGGCACAGGAGUAGCUCUGAAAAACUCCCCUUUUAUAAAGAAAUUUACAUCUAUAAAGAAAAUUUUCAUUAGUAGAGGUACCUAUACCAGAAAGAGAACAAGUCUCAGCCAACUUUUAUCAGCUGAGGGUCUUUUAUAUGCCUAACAAUGCAACCUUUAUUCACCAUACAUUUCUUCCCUUCACCUUCCCAUAAUUUAGUGCCACCCACUUAUUCAUUUCUGUAAGCCCUAAGCACCUAUUAUUUUCUAAAAAGCUCAGGAUCCUACAUAAGCUUCAAUCAUCUGGCCCUUCUUUGAAUCUCUUAUUUUGUAGGACUCCUGUGUGUAUGGAUGCAAUGAAAAUUGUUUUUUCCAGUUAAUCUGUUUUAUGUCAAUUUAGUUUGUAGCCCAGCCAAAGGAGCUAGGAGGAUAGAGGGGGAAAAUAUUUGUUUCUCCCCUACACAUGUAAACUCUUUAGCUCCUGCUUUCUUUACUCUGAUGAGACAAGUUAAAAAAAAUGUUUUCUGUUAUUGCAAAACAAAACCUGUGUGUCACAAGAUCAGGCCUCAGAAUAUCAAAAGAAAAAAAAAUUCAUGAACAGGACUUAAACAGUUCACAUACAUUGAAGUCAUCACUGACUUCUAUCACAGUAGCAACUUCAGUCUGUUCUGGCUGUUUUGUUUGUUGUAAAAUUUUGUAUAUGUAUGCAUUCAUGAGUGCGCAUGAGACAGACGGCAUAUUAAGCAUGCACAAGUGACUCUAUACACUUCAAAAGUUAAUUUUUUUUUUGUCAAAGGAGAUGCAUCUUUCUUGGUCUAAAGAUAAAGUGAC